ACGAACGCUGGCGGCGCGCUUCACCCCUGCAAGUCGAACGGAAAGGCCUGCUUUCCCUUGUGGAUUGCGGGUACUCGAGUGGCGAACGGGUGAGUAACACGUGAGUGAUCUGCCCCCAACUUGGGUAUAAGCCUGGGAAACUGGGUCUAAUUCCCGAUAGGACUGCAGGGUGGUGCCUGUGGUGGAAAACGAUUUUCUAGUGGUUGGGGAUGAGCUCGCGGCCUAUCAGCUUGUUGGUGGGGUAAUGGCCUACCAAGGCGGCGACGGGUAGCCGGCCUGAGAGGGUGGACGGCCACAUUGGGACUGAGAUACGGCCCAGACUCCUACGGGAGGCAGCAGUGGGGAAUAUUGCACAAUGGGCGGAAGCCUGAUGCAGCGACGCCGCGUGGGGGAUGACGGCCUUCGGGUUGUAAACUCCUUUCGACCGCGAGGAAGCCACCUGGUUGGAAGGGUGGUGACGGUAGUGGUAGAAGAAGCACCGGCUAACUACGUG
rnacentral:rRNA from 1 species